UACGAAGGGGGCUAGCGUUUUUCGGAAUUACUGGGCGUAAAGGGCGCGUAGGCGGCCCUGUCAGUCAAGCGUGAAAGCCCCGGGCUCAACCUGGGAAUUGCGCCUGAUACUGCAGGGCUUGAGGGUCGGAGAGGAUGGUGGAAUUCCCAGUGUAGAGGUGAAAUUCGUAGAUAUUGGGAAGAACACCGGUGGCGAAGGCGGCCAUCUGGACGACAUCUGACGCUGAGGCGCGAAAGCGUGGGGAGCAAACAGG
rnacentral:rRNA from 1 species